UACGUAGGGGGCAAGCGUUGUCCGGAUUCAUUGGGCGUAAAGAGCUCGUAGGCGGUCUGUCGCGUCGGCUGUGAAAACCCGGGGCUCAACCCCGGGCCUGCAGUCGAUACGGGCAGACUAGAGUGCGGUAGGGGGAGACUGGAAUUCCUGGUGUAGCGGUGAAAUGCGCAGAUAUCAGGAGGAACACCGGUGGCGAAGGCGGGUCUCUGGGCCGAUACUGACGCUGAGGAGCGAAAGCGUGGGGAGCGAACAGG
rnacentral:rRNA from 1 species